rnacentral:rRNA from 1 species
UACGUAGGGCGCAAGCGUUAUCCGGAAUUAUUGGGCGUAAAGAGCUCGUAGGCGGUUUGUCGCGUCUGCCGUGAAAGUCCGGGGCUCAACUCCGGAUCUGCGGUGGGUACGGGCAGACUAGAGUGAUGUAGGGGGAGACUGGAAUUCCUGGUGUAGCGGUGAAAUGCGUAGAUAUCAAGAGGAACACCUGCGGCGAAGGCGGGUCUCUGGGCCGAUACUGACGCUGAGGAGCGAAAGCGUGGGGGAGCGAACAGG